rnacentral:rRNA from 1 species
UACCAGCACCCCGAGUGGUCGGGACGAUUAUUGGGCCUAAAGCAUCCGUAGCCGGCCUUACAAGUCCUCCGUUAAAUCCAGCUGCUUAACAGAUGGGCUGCGGAGGAUACUAUAAGACUAGGAGGCAGGAGAGGCAAGCGGUACUCAGUGGGUAGGGGUAAAAUCCGUUGAUCCAUUGAAGACCACCAGUGGCGAAGGCGGCUUGCCAGAAUGCGCUCGACGGUGAGGAUGAAAGCUGGGGAGCAAACCGGG